rnacentral:pre_miRNA from 1 species
AAUAAGUGCAGUUUUGCACUAUUCACGUUCAACGUUUGAUUGUUCGUCUUAUUUUAAUUUUUUUUAUAAUUAGUAUUUUUAUUGCUAUUAGAUGAUAAAGCAUGAAUAGUAUUUUAUGUGUGACUAAAUAUUUUCAAAUUUUUCACAAAACUUUCAAAUAAGACAGACGAUCAAACGUUGGGCACGGAUAUCCACGACUGCACUUAUU